rnacentral:rRNA from 1 species
CCUACGGGUGGCAGCAGUGGGGAAUAUUGCACAAUGGGGGAAACCCUGAUGCAGCGACGCCGCGUGAGUGAAGAAGUAUUUCGGUAUGUAAAGCUCUAUCAGCAGGGAAGAAACCCACCCUCCGGGGUGGCUGACGGUACCUGACUAAGAAGCCCCGGCUAACUAAGUGCCAGCAGCCGCGGUAAUACGUAGGGGGCAAGCGUUAUCCGGAUUUGCGGGGGGUAAAGGGAGCGUAGGUGGCAAGGCAAGUCAGAUGUGAAAACCCGGGGCCCAACCCCGGGAGUGCAUUUGAAACUGUCUGGCUAGAGUGCAGGAGAGGUAAGUGGAAUUCCUAGUGUAGCGGUGAAAUGCAUAGAUAUUAGGAGGAACACCAGUGGCGAAGGCGGCUUACUGGACUGUAACUGACACUGAGGCUCGAAAGCGUGGGGAGCAAACAGGAUUAGAUACCCGUGUAGUC